rnacentral:rRNA from 1 species
GACGAACGCUGGCGGCGUGCUUAACACAUGCAAGUCGAACGGAAAGGCCCUGCUUUUGUGGGGUGCUCGAGUGGCGAACGGGUGAGUAACACGUGAGUAACCUGCCCUUGACUUUGGGAUAACUUCAGGAAACUGGGGCUAAUACCGGAUAGGAGCUCCUGCUGCAUGGUGGGGGUUGGAAAGUUUCGGCGGUUGGGGAUGGACUCGCGGCUUAUGAGCUUGUUGGUGGGGUAGUGGCUUACCAAGGCUUUGACGGGUAGCCGGCCUGAGAGGGUGACCGGCCACAUUGCGACUGCGAUACGGACCAGACUCCUACGGGACGCAGCAGUGGGGAAUAUUGCACAAUGGGCGGAAGCCUGAUGCAGCAACGCCGCGUGCGGGAUGACGGCCUUCGGGUUGUAAACCGCUUUCGCAUGUGACGAAGCGUGAGUGACGGUAAUGGGUAAAGAAGCACCGGCUAACUACGUG